rnacentral:lncRNA from 1 species
AUAUUUAUUGAUUCGCAAGAAUUCCGUGAUUAUCAUCGUUCUAUCGUUGUUGCCAUCUUUAGUCACACAAUUAUAUGAAAACUCAAGAUUUGGCCAUGAUUGCAAAAAAUAGAGAUGUUGCAAUGGCUUAACAAAGAGUGAGAUGUGGAAGUAUCUUAUUUAAGACUUUGGUUUAUUUAAAUUCAAUUAUUUUAGUAGAUCGAUUAGUUGUUUCUAUUAUCUAUAUGUUAGUUAUUUGCUAAUUUUAUGCAGGGUUUUUUAAUUUUGUUAUAAUGUACUUGUAGAUAAAUGAUAGUUAAAGUGCGUAAGUGAAAUAAAUGUUCAAAGUUUACAUUCCUUACACAAUAACUUAAAGUACCAAUUAGUAUUACGGGAUUCACUAUUUUGAAAAAAAAACAAAUAAAUAAGGAAAUGAACGAAAAAUAAAGAAAACUAGCAUUCUACUCGCAACCCUCUUGCGAAUCAGAUUCUGGAUCCUGAUCAUUUUGAUCUAAAAUUGUUAAAUAAGGAAUGAGCUACACUAACCUAAUAAGAAUAUCACACUAUAUCACCGAUAAAGAAAUGAAGAUUGGUAGAAAAUCAAAAUAACUAAUGGAGCACUUAAUUUAAAUCAAUACAUUUAUUAAAAAUAAAACUAUUUACCAUCCAUUUACCGCAAUGAGAUUUAUAAAAGCAAUCUAUAGAUACAAUAAUAUAGCACUUAUCAUGAUUGAAUAUGCAAUUGGUAACAAGCAUACAUUAUAAAUUCAUACUCAAUAAAUCAAACAACAACCUUUCCUUUUAUCAGCCUACUGGUAUCUACGAGGGUUCAUAGGGAUGUCCCUGCUACGCGUGAACAUUUUCCUUCAACAUUUUCAAAUUAAGGGUCUUCCCCAUAUCCCGUCCGGUAUGAGUGUCAAAUCAUUAAAACUUAAUACCCCGUCCGGUAUGAGGGUGAAACGGGCCGUCCUCAUAUCUCGUUUGGUAUGAGCGCCAAAUUAUCAAGUCUCGAUACCCUGUCCGGUAUGAGACAAUGUUCACGGUAGGGUUCCCUAUUGUAACUGGUCCGUCCACCAUCUCUCAGGAUAUACAGUAAGGCUGUCGUUUCAUCCAUUCACUUAAUAACACAAUUUUUUUAUUUUCCUUUAGUAUCCAUUUUCCAAAUCACUCGUAAUCACAUAAACAAACAAACAUGCAUCAGGGAAUGCAAUCAUAUAUCAGUUUUCCAAUUUAACAGUAGUCACGUAAGGCAGCAAUACAUGCAUUCAAAUCAUAAAGUUGAUAAAUCAGAUAUUAUUAUGCAUUCAAAGCUAUAAAAUCAAUCAAUAAGGCACUAUCAUGCAUUUAAACUGUAAAAAUAAUCAACAGAACAACAGUAGAUAAUUUUCAGUUCUGGCUCCAUUAGUAACCCGUAAUUAAUUACAGAUAUUUUUUAAGUUUUUCGAAAUACCAUAUUAUUUAAAAUUAAACUUCAAUUCAAUAACAAAAGAUAAGGUAAGAGAUUCUUACUCAAUUUGGUGCCUGAAAAACUAAGUUGUUUACUUCGCCUACAUGCGAUUUUUGAGUUUCCUGAAUUUUCGUUCGGGAAUCAAAACGCACUAUAAAUACCUACAAAUGUUCCAAACAAACCCAAAAUCAGUCUCAGGGCCCCACUUUGGCCAAUUUCAGAAUUUCGACACGGUGGCUCUGCCGUGCUCAAUCAGGUCGGCUAUUUUUGGCCAGAUUCGGCCGAUUUUACAUCAAUCCCUAUGAGAAAACAUAUUAAGGGGUCUCGGUUGGCCGAAAAAAUAUAAAAAAUUGAAACUCAAUGGUGGCGGGGCUCUCCGGUACGGCGGCUCCUCCAGCUUACAUUGUGAUUGGGUGUUUUGUUCUGGUCAAUCUGUAGAGAAGGAAACGGUGAUCGCAACGGUGAAAAAAUUACGGAGAACAGGAAUCGGAAAAGGUCUCAUAGGAGGUAUUUUGUAUAAUUUCUCGUAGCAGCGUCGCUGGGCUUUGCCCAUAUUUUUCAGCCAAUCGGCCGGUUCUUUUGCUCCGAUUUGGUCAUGGGUAUGUUUAAAAUUAAAUUAUGAGCAAGGAGAAAAAUUUUCACCUCUUUUGGCGGUCAUAAAGGGCUCCGAUGCGGCGACGGGUGGCGAUGGUGUUCUUCCCGGUAGUUGGUCUUCUUCUCCAGCGAGGGAGUCUGGUGGCUAGGGUUAGGGUUUGGUGUGGAUGUGAGUUAUUUAUAUCCAUUUAUUUUUUAUCUAAACCGUCCAUCGCGUUUGAUAUAGACCGUCAAAUCGCGAUUAAAUAGGAGUGAAUCUAGACCGUUCAUCGCGCUCUAUUCUGGACCAUCCGAUUGCGUUCAAAUCUGACCGUUCGAUCGCGUUUGGAGAGUGAGUGAAUCUGGGUCGUUCAUGCGUACGAGAAUGGAUCUGAGCUGUUUGAUUGCGGGCACGCGGAUCGCCCACAUGACCUCCCGUGUGGCACCGCACCAGCGUCCGCUGCCACGCAGCGUGUCCUGAUUCAUCGGUGCUGCUGAUCGGACAUCUUAUGUGGUGAAACUUCUCUAAAUUACAUUUUGACCUCUGAUUUUUCUUUCAAAAAUACCCCAAGAACCUAAAUUUUAACCCAUUUUUCCAAAAUUAUUUUCAAUUUAAUCCUCCAUCAAAUUUACUUUAUUUUUACUCUAAAUUAAAAUUAAAAAAUUUGAAAAAUUAAGAAAUUAUAUUUAUAAUUAAAUCCUUAAUUACAUUAAAAAUUAAUUUAUGGUAUUACAAUGUUUAUCUCUAAAAUCAGUAGUGUUAUUUAUUUUAAAAAAGCUGAAUAAGCACCAAAAAUUGAAAAAUGCUUCAAAAUAAUUAAGAUAAUAUUUUUUUUUUCUAUAUUUAUUGAUUCGCAAGAAUUCCAUAAUUAUCAUCGUUCUAUUCAUGUUGUCAUCUCUAGUCACACAAUAAUAUGAAAACUCAAGAUUUGGCCAUGAUUGCAAAAAAUAGAGAUGUUGCAAUGGCUUAACAAAGAGUGAGAUGUGGAAGUAUCUUAUUUAAGACUUCGGUUUAUUUAAAUUCAAUUAUUUUUAGUAGAUCGAUUAGUUGUUUCUAUUAUCUAUAUAUUAGUUAUUUGCUAAU